rnacentral:rRNA from 1 species
GUGUCAGCCGCCGCGGUAAUACGGAGGGUGCAAGCGUUAUCCGGAUUCACUGGGUUUAAAGGGUGCGUAGGUGGGUUGGUAAGUCAGUGGUGAAAUCCCCGAGCUUAACUUGGGAACUGCCAUUGAUACUAUCAGUCUUGAAUACCGUGGAGGUCAGCGGAAUAUGUCAUGUAGCGGUGAAAUGCUUAGAUAUGACAUAGAACACCAAUUGCGAAGGCAGCUGGCUACUCGGAUAUUGACACUGAGGCACGAAAGCGUGGGGAUCAAACAGGAUUAGAAACCCGCGUAGUCC